UGGUGGGCCUAGGCGGGGGGCUAGGGGUCCCCUGAGAGCCCUCACAGGGCUCGACCGCAAAACCCCUAUACGGCGGGCCGAAAGCUGGGGUUGAGACGCACCCAGCCUGGCUGAGGCCUCACGGAAACCCUGGGAGGGCCUGUCCUCCAGGGCUGGCGGAGCAGGACCACCUACUCGUAGGAGUGGGUGGACUGUGCUGCCGGGUGAAACGGGCUAGGCCCGGGAGGGAGCAACCUAAGCCCGGACGCCCAGCGCUUGGAGGGGUGCGGGCCUGAGGGAGGCCGUGAAAGCCUCAGCCCGGUAUGAGCGUCGAACCCCAGGGCCCACCA
rnacentral:SRP_RNA from 1 species